rnacentral:lncRNA from 1 species
UAUACCUUACUUUUAGUUCUAAGAACCCAACCUAAAUAAAUAAUAUACUAAAUUCAUGUUAUAUACAUAAAUCAAAUCAUCUAUUAAAAAAUAUUAACAAAAUAUAGCAAAGCAACAUAAAAUGAGUUAGACUUUCAGGAAACAUACCAUUUAUUUAUGCUUAGCAAUUAUCUUCUCCGAACUCUUUCGUCUCUUUGUUAAUCUUGUCUCUCCAUAUAUCCAAACAAAGAUGAACAUGACCAAUAAAA